rnacentral:rRNA from 1 species
UCGAGCGAGCACUUUGCUUAGAUUCUUCGGAUGAAGAGGAUUGUGACUGAGCGGCGGACGGGUGAGUAACGCGUGGGUAACCUGCCUCAUACAGGGGGAUAACAGUUAGAAAUGACUGCUAAUACCGCAUAAGACCACAGCACCGCAUGGUGCGGGGGUAAAAACUCCGGUGGUAUGAGAUGGACCCGCGUCUGAUUAGCUAGUUGGUAAGGUAACGGCUUACCAAGGCGACGAUCAGUAGCCGACCUGAGAGGGUGACCGGCCACAUUGGGACUGAGACACGGCCCAAACUCCUACGGGAGGCAGCAGUGGGGAAUAUUGCACAAUGGGGGAAACCCUGAUGCAGCGACGCCGCGUGAGCGAAGAAGUAUUUCGGUAUGUAAAGCUCUAUCAGCAGGGAAGAAAAUGACGGUACCUGACUAAGAAGCACCGGCUAAAUACGUGCCAGCAGCCGCGGUAAUACGUAUGGUGCAAGCGUUAUCCGGAUUUACUGGGUGUAAAGGGAGCGUAGACGGAUGGGCAAGUCUGAUGUGAAAACCCGGGGCUCAACCCCGGGACUGCAUUGGAAACUGUUCAUCUAGAGUGCUGGAGAGGUAAGUGGAAUUCCUAGUGUAGCGGUGAAAUGCGUAGAUAUUAGGAGGAACACCAGUGGCGAAGGCGGCUUACUGGACAGUAACUGACGUUGAGGCUCGAAAGCGUGGGGAGCAAACAGGAUUAGAUACCCUGGUAGUCCA